UCACACAACACACAUUUAAUGAGCAUCUGCUCUCCUGGGUGGUGGGAUAUGAUAGGAAGUAAAAAGACUCGUGGAGUUUAUAUUUUGCUGGGGGCAGAUAGAUUAUAAAGAAAGUAAAUGAGCAGACUGUAUGUUGGAAGGUUAGAGGGUGGUAAGUGCUAUUGAGAAAAAUGAAGCAGUUACUGAGGAGGGUGAGAAUCAGGGAAGGCUUCAGUGAGGUAACAUUUUAACAGGCUUCUUAACAGGAUGAGUGAGCCUGGCAAGUAACUAGGGAACAGCAAGAGCAAAGGUCCUGGGGCACAAAUUUGAAGAAGUGUACAUAGUCCUGUGUGGCUGUAACACAGUGAGUAAUGGGACCUGAAGCCAGAGAGGAAAUGGGAAACCAGAUCUUAUCAGGCCUUGCAGGCCAUUGUAAAGGCUUUGGCUUUUACCCUGAGUGAAACUGAAAAUCUUUAGCGGGUUUUGUAUAAAGAGGUGACAUCAUUGGCCUUCUCAUUUGAAAGAAUCCGUCUACUUGCUUUUGAGAAGAGAUUGUAUUUGGGGCAAGGUUGGAAAUUGGGGGGUCCAGUUAGGAGGUCAUUGCAAUAGUUCAAGCAAGAGAAAAUUGUAUCUUGUUAGUAGUAGAGGUGGUGGGAAGUAUUCUAAAUCUCUAUAUAUUUAAAGGCAGAGUCAACAAGAUUUCCUAACAGAUUGAUGAAGAAUGGAGUUACUAUUUAUAGAAAAGGCAAAGACGGAGAGUAGAAGAGGUUGGGGAGUGGCUAGGGAAGAGUCAAUGAAAACUACAAGAAUUUUCUUUGCACAGGCCCCAAUUUAUAUCCUUGUCUAUUCAUAUUAUUUAUUGUGAUGCUUCCAUUUGGCUUUGGGGAUUUCUUGUUUUAUUCAGUGAUUUGAAGUAGAUGCCUACUGGCACUUGGUUGAACCACUAGAUGUUCUUCUAUAUCUCAAUUGUGUUUUAUUUUCUUUUCAUUCUUUAGUUGAAACAGCCUGAAACUUUUUUGUGUCACAUCUCUGCAGCUGUCCUUUGUCCCAUGGAGUUGGCUAUCAGCCUGGUUCUGCAGUUUGGGUUGUCUGACAUUUUUAUUUGGUGACUUGUACCAAUUGCUUAUUUAGAAUAGGUACAAAUCCUCAUGGGAUUUAGUGUUUGACAGCAAUUGUUGAAGUUGAGUAGUUUGAAUAGCCUAAAGCAGAAAGAUUACAAAAAUAUGACAGAAAUAACAUGAAACUCAGGAAAAAUGGAGUAGAAAUGACUAAACUGCCCUCAUUUUGCGUGAGAGAAAACUUGUGUUUUAGAUAAAACGUAUGAUGUUAGGAGCUGGCCAACUGAAUUCUGUUGGUUUGCACUGCUUCUGCUUUUUAUCCUAAUGGUAUCUCUGGUUUUAUCAAGGAGCUGGAUUUCUAACUUGAUAAAGGAAAUCCAACUUACUUGGAUAAAGCAUAUCCAAGUAAAAAGAAGUGUUUACUCCCUUAUAAAAAAAACAAACAGGCCAGACACAGUGGCACACACCUGUUGUCUUAGCUACUAAGGAGGCUGAAGUAAGAGGAUUAUUUCAGCCCAGGAGCUCAAGCCCAGCCUAGGUAACAAAGUGAGACCCCCAUCUCUAAAAAAACUUAAUUAAUAAAAUAAAAAGAAAAACAAACCUAAUAUUUGGGUUUUUACAUCUUCUUCUGUUUGUUUUGUUUUGUUUUUAUCUGAGUCUGCUUGCUAGGAAAGGUUUUGACAUCUUAAGUGACCUGCUUCAUGGGAGUCAGGCAGUACUUGAUCAAGAAUAGAAUGUAGGCAUCUUUACUUGCAGUUCUGUAUUUCAGACAAUAGGCAAAGUUCUUAUUGUGAGAGAUCCCUAAGCUAUGAAAAUCUGUCCUAUUCCAAGUAGAAUUAAUUACUAAUAUUUAAAGCUAGAAUGAAAGAGAGCAUCUGACCCUACCUCUUCAUUUUAGAGGUCACAAGACUGAGACUCACCUAAAAUUCAGUGACUUACUUAAAAUUCACCACAAUUUUGUGACUAGUAUUUUUUUUUUUUUUUU